rnacentral:rRNA from 1 species
GAUGAACGCUGGCGGCGUGCCUAAUACAUGCAAGUCGAGCGAAUGGAUUAAGAGCUUGCUCUUAUGAAGUUAGCGGCGGACGGGCGAGUAACACGUGGGUAACCUGCCCAUAAGACUGGGAUAACUCCGGGGAACCGGGGCUAAUACCGGAUAACAUUUUGAACCGCAUGGUUCGAAAUUGAAAGGCGGCUUCGGCUGUCACUUAUGGAUGGACCCGCGUCGCAUUAGCUAGUUGGUGAGGUAACGGCUCACCAAGGCAACGAUGCGUAGCCGACCUGAGAGGGUGAUCGGCCACGCUGGGACUGAGACACGGCCCAGACUCCUACGGGAGGCAGCAGUAGGGAAUCUUCCGCAAUGGACGAAAGUCUGACGGAGCAACGCCGCGUGAGUGAUGAAGGCUUUCGGGUCGUAAAGCUCUGUUGUUAGGGAAGAACAAGUGCUAGUUGAAUAAGCUGGCACCUUGACGGUACCUAACCAGAAAGCCACGGCUAACUACGUGCCAGCCGCCGCAGUAA